UCGGAGCGUAAACUCCUUUUCUUAGGGAAGAAUUCUGACGGUACCUAAGGAAUAAGCACCGGCUAACUCCGUGCCAGCAGCCGCGGUAAUACGGAGGGUGCAAGCGUUACUCGGAAUCACUGGGCGUAAAGGGCGCGUAGGCGGAUUAUCAAGUCUCUUGUGAAAUCUAAUGGCUUAACCAUUAAACUGCUUGGGAAACUGAUAGUCUAGAGUGAGGGAGAGGCAGAUGGAAUUGGUGGUGUAGGGGUAAAAUCCGUAGAUAUCACCAAGAAUACCCAUUGCGAAGGCGAUCUGCUGGAACUCAACUGACGCUAAGGCGCGAAAGCGUGGGGAGCAAACAGGAUUAGAUACCCUGGUAGUCCACGCCCUAAACGAUGUACACUAGUUGUUGGGGUGCUAGUCAUCUCAGUAAUGCAGCUAACGCAUUAAGUGUACCGCCUGGGGAGUACGGUCGCAAGAUUAAAACUCAAAGGAAUAGACGGGGACCCGCACAAGCGGUGGAGCAUGUGGUUUAAUUCGAAGAUACGCGAAGAACCUUACCUGGGCUUGAUAUCCUAAGAACCUUUUAGAGAUAAGAGGGUGCUAGCUUGCUAGAACUUAGAGACAGGUGCUGCACGGCUGUCGUCAGCUCGUGUCGUGAGAUGUUGGGUUAAGUCCCGCAACGAGCGCAACCCACGUAUUUAGUUGCUAACGGUUCGGCCGAGCACUCUAAAUAGACUGCCUUCGUAAGGAGGAGGAAGGUGUGGACGACGUCAAGUCAUCAUGGCCCUUAUGCCCAGGGCGACACACGUGCUACAAUGGCAUAUACAAUGAGACGCAAUACCGCGAGGUGGAGCAAAUCUAUAAAAUAUGUCCCAGUUCGGAUUGUUCUCUGCAACUCGAGAGCAUGAAGCCGGAAUCGCUAGUAAUCGUAGAUCAGCCAUGCUACGGUGAAUACGUUCCCGGGUCUUGUACUCACCGCCCGUCACACCAUGGGAGUUGAUUUCACUCGAAGCCGGAAUACUAAACUAGUUACCGUCCACAGUGGAAUCAGCGACUGGGGUGAAGUCGUAACAAGGUAACCGUAGGAGAACCUGCGGUUGGAUCACCUCCUUUCUA
rnacentral:rRNA from 2 species